rnacentral:rRNA from 1 species
GUGAACGCUGGCGGUAGGCCUAACACAUGCAAGUCGAACGGCAGCACAGUAAGAGCUUGCUCUUACGGGUGGCGAGUGGCGGACGGGUGAGGAAUACAUCGGAAUCUACUUUUUCGUGGGGGAUAACGUAGGGAAACUUACGCUAAUACCGCAUACGACCUACGGGUGAAAGCAGGGGAUCUUCGGACCUUGCGCGAUUGAAUGAGCCGAUGUCGGAUUAGCUAGUUGGCGGGGUAAAGGCCCACCAAGGCGACGAUCCGUAGCUGGUCUGAGAGGAUGAACAGGCCAACUGGAACUGAGACACGGUCCAGACUCCUACGGGAGGCAGCAGUGGGGAAUAUUGGACAAUGGGCGCAAGCCUGAUCCAGCGAUACCGCGUGGGUGAAGAAGGCCUUCGGGUUGUAAAGCCCUUUUGUUGGGAAAGAAAAGCAGCAGGUUAAUACCCCGCUGUUCUGACGGUACCCAAAGAAUAAGCACCGGCUAACUUCGUG